AGGCUUCAGGCUUCCGUGGACCAAGCAGCCAUUCUGACUUCUGCCCUGGCCUUUUGGAAGUAAGAAGAAGAGAUUCACAGGUCAGAGAGGAAGAGAAAUAGAGAAAUGGUUCCCAGGACUUCCUCAUCCUCCUAGAACAUGGGAGGUCCCAGGCUGGGCAAGGGGCAGGGUAAGGAGCUUGUACUUUGUGGGCCAUAGGCCGUGGCCCAUGAGAGGCCCCCGUGUGUGGGGACAGAGUCAUGGGGAGGGUCAGAAGCUGGAGUCUGGGCUCAUUUGUGGCCAGAGCAGACCUCAGCGUCUCUGGACCUUGGCUGCCCAGUGUCUGCACUCAGGCCUGACCUCACUUCCUUGUCCUGGGCUUCUAGCCUGUCCCUCUCCCUCCUCCCCACCUCUCAAGCCCUGCAGAGACAGCUCAAAGGCUUCCCCAGACUGGAGCCUGGCCACUUGGCCGGGACCACCCGGUACCCACCUCCCUGGUGACAAAGCCUGCCCUGGUCCCUGACCUGAACGGGGACAGCUGGGAGGAGAAGAGACGCUCGAGGCUGCAGCUUUUACUCUCUGGAAUGGAGACCUGCCCUGGGAGAUUUUUCUAGGACUCCCAGAUCCCUCUUUCCAGACACAAGGGGUCCCCAAGAUUGGAAGCCUUACAGCCUCCUCAUCAGAACCAGCUGCUUUCCGACCAGCCCUGGGAGAGGGUCUUACAGGCUCUGAAUGCAGCAUGCCUGCCCUGCCUGGGAGCGGCACAGCCUGCACAGAGUGCUCCACACAGGAGAGCCACUGCCACUCCCCAGCGUGGUGACGCCACAUGCCAGAGACUUGGGAUGUUCUCCUAGACACCAAAUCUGUACACCAAGGGCUAUUACCAGGUGAAGAGGGAGCAUGCCAGCCUUCCAUUCGGAUUGGAAGGUAGAGCCUAAAGGGGUUUUCACUUUUUCAUCAUCCUCAUUUUCCCUUGGUGCCACCAUGUAAGAAGUGCCUUUCGCCUCCUGCCAUGAUUCUGAGGCCUUCCCAGCCAUGUGGAACUGUAAGUCCAGUUAAACAACUUUUUCCUCUUAGUUGCAGGUAUGUCUUUAUCAGCAGCAUAAAAAUGGACUCAUACACCUUGUAGGAGAACCAUGUAGA
rnacentral:lncRNA from 10 species